AACAACGUGCCUCAGGAGUGCAAGUUGCUGAUGAAGUGUGUCGCAUUUUUUAUGACAUGAGAGUUCGUAAAUGCUCCACACCAGAAGAAAUCAAGAAAAGAACAAAGGCUGUCAUUUUUUUGUCUCAGUGCAGACAAAAAGUGCAUCAUGUAGAAGGCAAAGAGAUCUUGGUUGGAGAUGUUGGUGUAACUAUAAGUGAGCCUUUCAAGCAUUUUGUGGGAAUGCUUCCUGAAAAAGAUUGUUGCUAUGCUUUGUAUGAUGCAAGCUUUGAAACAAAAGAAUCCAGAAGAAUUGAUGUUUUCUUGUGGGCAUCAGAACUAGCACCUUUGAAAAGUAAAAUGAUCUAUACAAGCUCCAAGGAUGCAAUCAAAAAGAAAUUUCAAGGCAUAAAACAUGAAUGGCAAACAAACGGACCAGAAGAUCUCAAUCGGGCUUGUACUGCUGAAAAGUUAGUGGAUCCUUAAUUGUAGCCUUUGAAGGAUGCCCUGUGUAGAUCAUCAUUCAGUGCCACAAAUUGAAAGCUUCCACGUUUAAUGUUAUCCUCUUGCUAUAUAAAUAAAGCAAAUAUAUUUAGGCCAGGGUCUCACUGAGGGGAGCUGUCUUGUCAUCUUUUAGAGUAAACUAAAUACUCUAUAAACAUAUGCAAACAGCCCUAAAUAUAUCUAAAGUCUAAAGU
rnacentral:lncRNA from 1 species